GGGCCAGUGGCGCAACGGACAACGCCCUGACUACGGAUCAGGAGAUUGCAGGUUCGACUCCUGCCUGGCCUG